GCCCAAGAGAUCGGGAUAACACCUGGAAACAGAUGCUAAUACCGGAUAACAACAGAUGAUGCCUAUCAACUGUUUAAAAGAUGGUUCUGCUAUCACUCUUGGAUGGACCUGCGGUGCAUUAGCUAGUUGGUAGGGUAACGGCCUGCCAAGGCGAUGAUGCAUAGCCGAGUUGAGAGACUGAUCGGCCACAUUGGGACUGAGACACGGCCCAAACUCCUACGGGAGGCAGCAGC
rnacentral:rRNA from 1 species